UAAUUGCAUAGUAUUGACUACGUACGCACUAUCUAGUCAUAAAUUUUCAGCAGAUAAAUCUACCCUUUGGACUAUUUCCAUCCGUUAAAUCAUACUAUUCAAUUAACCACCCACUCAAUUCUCGAGGACUACUAUUAUCCUAAUUGGAGACCACUAUCAUUCUAACCGCACAUCCUUUCAUCCAACGACAGAAAAUUUAUGAAUACGUAUCUUAAUCCAAAGACCAAAAAUUGUUAUAUAUAACAGAGUUGAGUCGUUAUAGAGGGUUAGGGUGAACAAGAAAACACGCUUGUAGAGGCGGUCUAAACCG
rnacentral:lncRNA from 1 species